AGACCCGAAACCCGGUGAUCUAGCCAUGGGCAGGUUGAAGGUUGGGUAACACUAACUGGAGGACCGAACCGACUAAUGUUGAAAAAUUAGCGGAUGACCUGUGGCUGGGGGUGAAAGGCCAAUCAAACCGGGAGAUAGCUGGUUCUCCCCGAAAGCUAUUUAGGUAGCGCCUCGUGAAUUCAUCUCCGGGGGUAGAGCACUGUUUCGGCUAGGGGGCCAUCCCGGCUUACCAACCCGAUGCAAACUGCGAAUACCGGAGAAUGUUAUCACGGGAGACACACGGCGGGUGCUAACGUCCGUCGUGAAGAGGGAAACAACCCAGACCGCCAGCUAAGGUCCCAAAGUCAUGGUUAAGUGGGAAACGAUGUGGGAAGGCCCAGACAGCCAGGAUGUUGGCUUAGAAGCAGCCAUCAUUUAAAGAAAGCGUAAUAGCUCACUGGUCGAGUCGGCCUGCGCGGAAGAUGUAACGGGGCUAAACCAUGCACCGAAGCUGCGGCAGCGACGCUGAUGCGUUGUUGGGUAGGGGAGCGUUCUGUAAGCCUGCGAAGGUGGCCUGUGAGGGUUGCUGGAGGUAUCAGAAGUGCGAAUGCUGACAUAAGUAACGAUAAAGCGGGUGAAAAGCCCGCUCGCCGGAAGACCAAGGGUUCCUGUCCAACGUUAAUCGGGGCAGGGUGAGUCGACCCCUAAGGCGAGGCCGAAAGGCGUAGUCGAUGGGAAACGGGUUAAUAUUCCCGUACUUGGUGUUACUGCGAAGGGGGGACGGAGAAGGCUAUGUUGGCCGGGCGACGGUUGUCCCGGUUUAAGCGUGUAGGCUGGUUUUCCAGGCAAAUCCGGAAAAUCAAGGCUGAGGCGUGACGACGAGGCACUACGGUGCUGAAGCAACAAAUGCCCUGCUUCCAGGAAAAGCCUCUAAGCAUCAGGUAACAUCAAAUCGUACCCCAAACCGACACAGGUGGUCAGGUAGAGAAUACCAAGGCGCUUGAGAGAACUCGGGUGAAGGAACUAGGCAAAAUGGUGCCGUAACUUCGGGAGAAGGCACGCUGACAUGUAGGUGAAGUGAUUUACUCAUGGAGCUGAAGUCAGUCGAAGAUACCAGCUGGCUGCAACUGUUUAUUAAAAACACAGCACUGUGCAAACACGAAAGUGGACGUAUACGGUGUGACGCCUGCCCGGUGCCGGAAGGUUAAUUGAUGGGGUCAGCGCAAGCGAAGCUCCUGAUCGAAGCCCCGGUAAACGGCGGCCGUAACUAUAACGGUCCUAAGGUAGCGAAAUUCCUUGUCGGGUAAGUUCCGACCUGCACGAAUGGCGUAAUGAUGGCCAGGCUGUCUCCACCCGAGACUCAGUGAAAUUGAACUCGCUGUGAAGAUGCAGUGUACCCGCGGCAAGACGGAAAGACCCCGUGAACCUUUACUAUAGCUUGACACUGAACAUUGAGCCUUGAUGUGUAGGAUAGGUGGGAGGCUUUGAAGUGUGGACGCCAGUCUGCAUGGAGCCGACCUUGAAAUACCACCCUUUAAUGUUUGAUGUUCUAACGUGGACCCGUAA
rnacentral:rRNA from 2 species